UAUUAUCUGCCCUCUGCCUGCAUCUGUGCCCUGGGAGGUUGCCCUGUGGAUUGCAUCACCUGGGAUCCUUGCUGGCUGGCUUGCCCAUUAGAUUUGGCCAAAGGGAAUUACCAGCAGGAGAGUGGAGGGCUGAAGGAGAGAAAAGUUGGGAUGUUUCCCACCUCUGGUGGAUGGGAAUCCUCAGCUACUUUCUGUUUUCAUUAUUUGUCAGAGAAAUGUGCCUUGAGACUUAAUCCUGUGGCCUCCCCCAGCUGUUCACCAUACAUCCCAGCCAAAGAGGAAACAGAAGUUCUGCUGUCGAAAGGGGAAGACAAGCUGACGGUGACUGUCUUCAGAUCGUAAAAACUCACAUAAAAUGAAUUUAAAGUUAACACAGCCCCAUGCAGCCAGGCUCACUGGGUCUACAGGAUUUGAGUCUUCAGCUGGUAGACAAGUUGGCCAGGGCAGGGGGAUGCCCUUAGUUCCUCGGAGUUCUCCUGUGGCAUGUGUGGGCAGGUUUGGGCUCUGUCUUUCUAAGUCACCCCAGCGUUACUGAGGUGGUGCUGGAUGCGCCACUGCAGGAUAUGCUGGUGCGGCCUCCUUCAGAAGGGCUCGUCCAGUGGCAGGAGUGCUGUUGACAGCCAGCCUCCAGCCAUCACUUCCUUCAGAGAUGGCCUCAGCUGCAGAGCAUUGCCUUGUUCAAGGGGAAGCCCUGUCCAUGCUGGCCCACUGAUAGUGGUGGGGGUGGAAAGGCCCCGGCCUUUGGGACCAACAUGCUAUGGGACAAUUCUGACGGUCUUUUUAAUUCCAGAGUCCCAGUGGGGUUGGCUGAGGCUAUCCAAGAUCUUGACAUCUCCCUCUGCCCACUCCUGGUCCUGCCCUCCCUUCCACAGACGUUACUCCCAAGAGCACACCCAGGGAAGCAUUCUGCACGCGAAAGUCCAUCUCCCAGUCUGCCUCCUGGAGAACACAGCUGGCAACAUUAGUUAGUGAAAAAGCAGGCUGUGAACUUAUGAGGAAGCUGAGCUUCCGAGUUUCCAAAUGACUGGUCCAGAGCAUCUGUCAGCAAGCAAUGGAGCUGGAAUAGGCUCAGGCUCCGACUCCAAAGUUCAGGCUCUUUCUGAGCUCAGUCAGCGUGCAUGUCUUUCUAUCAGCUAAAAUGCUGCUCUCUGUUCUGAGCAGAGAGUGUGAUGCGGUGGGAAGCACAAUGAACUGGCACUUGAAACCAAACUUCUGGUCCUGAUGCUGUUAUUAGUGACCUCUGAGUCAUUUAUGGUCUCUGUGCUACACUUAUCUAUAAAAAUCCGAAAGGCAGUUUGGUGUAGAGGCAAGAUGUAAGGGCUGUUGGGUUUGACAGAGUUGGAUCCCACUAGUUACUGCGUGAUUUUAAACAAGUUACUUAACCUCUCU
rnacentral:lncRNA from 1 species